UACGUAGGGGGCAAGCGUUUGUCCGGAAUCAUUGGGCGUAAAGCGCGUGUAGGCGGCCCGGUAAGUCCGCUGUGAAAGUCGGGGGGCUCAACCCUCGGAUGCCGGUGGAUACUGUCGGGCUAGAGUGCGGGAGAGGCGAGUGGAAUUCCUGGUGUAGCGGUGAAAUGCGCAGAUAUCAGGAGGAACACCAAUUGCGAAGGCAGCUCGCUGGAACGUAACUGACGCUGAGACGCGAAAGCGUGGGGAGCAAACAGG
rnacentral:rRNA from 1 species